AAUAGAUACCCGGGUAGUCCACGUCGUAAACGAUGGAUACUAGCUGUUCGGAGCAAUCUGAGUGGCUAAGCGAAAGUGAUAAGUAUCCCACCUGGGGAGUACGUUCGCAAGAAUGAAACUCAAAGGAAUUGACGGGGGCCCGCACAAGCGGUGGAGCAUGUGGUUUAAUUCGAUGAUACGCGAGGAACCUUACCAAGGCUUAAAUGUAGAUUGACCGGACUGGAAACAGUUUUUUCGCAAGACAAUUUACAAGGUGCUGCAUGGUUGUCGUCAGCUCGUGCCGUGAGGUGUCAGGUUAAGUCCUAUAACGAGCGCAACCCCUGUCGUUAGUUGCCAGCGAGUCAUGUCGGGAACUCUAACGAGACUGCCAGUGUAAACUGUGAGGAAGGUGGGGAUGACGUCAAAUCAUCACGGCCCUUACGCCUUGGGCUACACACGUGCUACAAUGGCCGGUACAGAGAGCAGCCACUGGGCGACCAGGAGCGAAUCUACAAAACCGGUCACAGUUCGGAUCGGAGUCUGCAACUCGAC
rnacentral:rRNA from 1 species